rnacentral:rRNA from 1 species
UACAGAGGGGGCAAGCGUUAUUCGGAAUUAUUGGGCGUAAAGGGCGCGUAGGCGGCGAUUCAAGUGACGGGUGAAAUCCCUCGGCUUAGCCGAGGAACUGCCUGUCAGACUGGGUUGCUUGAGACCGGGAGAGGCGAGUGGAAUUCCCAGUGUAGCGGUGAAAUGCGUAGAUAUUGGGAGGAACACCAGUGGCGAAGGCGGCUCGCUGGACCGGAACUGACGCUGAGGCGCGAAAGCGUGGGGAGCAAACAGG